AACUACUAACUAGCUCGGCCUGGUACCACGGAUUUGUGCUACGGCACCAGGAGAGCAAAAUCAACACAGAAAAAAGCAAGAAAACUCAGAGAAAAAAUAAAACAAAUCUACAAUGAACACAUCAGUAUGUAUAUUUCUACAAACUUGUGUGAGAAGUUCUGUAAGAUCAAGUCCUAAAAGCAGAAUUGCUGGCUCAAAGGCAAAAAAAAAAAAAAAAAAGUAAAUUUAUUGAUGUGCCUACCAACGUGUUCUGAGGCUAUGAGGAAGCCAUAAAAGUCCUACCCUGAAUUACAGUCCAUCCUGGAUUCCAGGCAAGAAUAUAUACCUUCAGAUUUGUAUUUCUCUCGGAAGUAUUAAGAUUUCAAAAACUGGGCAGAAUGAAUCACAGACAAAUGCUUUCAGAAACUUAGAUGGGG